rnacentral:rRNA from 1 species
AGUUUUUGUAUCGGAGUACUUUAAUAAACUCCACUCAAGACGGGUCACUUAAAUAAAUUUGCCGGCGUCAUAAAAUUGACACGUUUCCAUCGUAUUAGUAAACAGAAAGUUAACUUCUGACCUUACUUUCUUAUAAGUUCAAUUUAGACAGAGUUAUUAUUAAUAUAUUUAACCGGAAAUUCACUUCUCUGAAUUUAAAAUUACUUUCUGUUUUUCUGGGAUAACUCGAAAUAAAAUUUAUCAAAAUUUGAUAAUAUCUAAACCAACCCCGCUGUUUCCUUAUAUAUUUAGAAGGAAAUAAAAUAUCUUUAAAGAAGAAUAUUUACAAAAUAUUUAUAUUUUAUUCCUUAGUCAAUGGCAUCCCUAUUGUCUGAUUAAAAAAAUCUCUCAAGUAUAAUUAUUUUUUCAAAUCAAGGAGCUACAACCGAAUUUUACAGGAUUUCCACAUCGUCGAAAAUUCCCAACCAAACAAGUUGGUAAUUUUAAAAUGCACUAGACUCAAGGUCUGUCCUAGCGGACAAAUAGUUUUU